GGGUUUGUAUCUUGGCUCAGAUUGAACGCUGGCGGCAUGCCUUACACAUGCAAGUCGAACGGCAGCACGGGAGCUUGCUCCUGGUGGCGAGUGGCGAACGGGUGAGUAAUGCAUCGGAACGUAUCCUGGAUGGGGGAUAACGUAGCGAAAGUUACGCUAAUACCGCAUAUUCUGUGAGCAGGAAAGCGGGGGAACCUUUCGGGGCCUCGCGACUCUUGGAGCGGCCGAUGUCGGAUUAGCUAGUUGGU
rnacentral:rRNA from 1 species